UGGUCGGUGGCGGCCGGCAGGAAGCAGUGCACAUCCACACGUGGGGCCGGUCGGAGGAUGCUGUUCCUUCUCUGCACGUGGGAGCCUGGGGCUGGAGACUCAGCUCCACCUCACUCAUCCUGUCUUCACUACUCGGAUGAAAUGCAUAAAACCGCAUACAACGCACUCGGCAGAAAAGGAAAGAUGGGUCAUUUUCAUUUGAUUCAUAACACUCAUCUUGACUAGGGUUGUCAACUUUCUCACUCCCAAAUAACGGACAAAACGAUGCGACCUGCAGGCUGAGCUCUUAAAGGACUUUGAAGAUGCUGGAAUCUUGAGCAAAACACAGUCUCUUGUGUACAACUUGAUCGACUGCCAGUCAUUCAAGUAUCCAUCAUCAAGUUCAAGAGAGUUUAUUGUCAUGUGUCCCUGAUAGGACAAUGAAAUUCUUGCAUUGCUUCAGCACAACAGAACAUAGUAGGCAUGAAUACAGAACAGAUCAGUGUGUCCAUAUACCAUUGUAUAAAUAUAUACACACAUGAAUAAAUAAACUGAUAAAAGUGCAAAUAAACAGAUAA